rnacentral:lncRNA from 1 species
UUCGAGCGGGCCUUCAACCGGGUGUUUGACGAGGUGUAGAUGGGCGGGCGGCGGGGGUGGGGGCAGGCGGGGUCGCGGGGGGACUGACGGCUGAGGGCCAAAGCGUUGCAUGCAACGCCUUUUGCCUGGGAGUUUCGGUGUUGAAGGGUAAGGAGGCGAUGCGUCGGUCUGUGGUGUGGCGUUGACUUAAUCGCAUCGGAUGCAUGUCACCGGCUAAUUUGGCACAUGUCUCUUUCGCGGUGUGGCCGCUCCCGACAGGACAUUCGCGCCGCUGCCACGGCGGCGGUAGCUGGCCGGGCCAGCGCUGCCGUGCGCGCCGAUUCGCAGAUGCUGACGCGCUUCUGGAACCGCCAGAGCAUCGCAGGAUUGUUGGGCCAGACUGACGCCGGGGGCUCGCACAGACAGCAGCCCGUGGGCGGUCGCACCCACCAGCAGCCGCAGCUGCCAGGCGCGCGGGGCCGCACUGUCAGCGGCGGAGGCGGUAUGGCUGGCCUGCUAG